UACGUAGGGCGCAAGCGUUGUCCGGAAUUAUUGGGCGUAAAGAGCGCGUAGGCGGUUUGUCGCGUCUGCUGUGAAAACUCGAGGCUCAACCUCGGGCUUGCAGUGGGUACGGGCAGACUAGAGUGCGGUAGGGGUGACUGGAAUUCCUGGUGUAGCGGUGGAAUGCGCAGAUAUCAGGAGGAACACCGAUGGCGAAGGCAGGUCUCUGGGCCAUAACUGACGCUGAGGAGCGAAAGCGUGGGGAGCGAACAGG
rnacentral:rRNA from 1 species